rnacentral:rRNA from 1 species
UACGAACCGUACGAACGUUAUUCGGAAUCACUGGGCUUAAAGAGUCCGUAGGCGGCUUGAAGGGUGAGGUGUGAAAUCCCACGGCCUAACCGUGGAACUGCGCUUCAAACCACCAAGCUAGAGGGAGAUAGAGGAAAGCGGAACUGAUGGUGGAGCGGUGAAAUGCGUUGAUAUCAUCAGGAACACCGGUGGCGAAAGCGGCUUUCUGGGUCUUUUCUGACGCUGAGGGACGAAAGCUAGGGGAGCGAACGGG